AUUAUUUCUCUUUCCUAGCCCGAGAGACCCGUUUUCAACAAAGGGCUAUGAGCAUUUCUACGUUCCAGAAAAGGGAACAGAGUUCAUCUCCUGGCGCCUUAAAACUUUGUUGAGGAAGAACCCAAAACGUGUUGGCUUGGAGAUGACUGAAAGUGGAGGACCAAGUCGACGAAGAAGGAUAGAUGAUGUGCAACAACUUGAAUGAGAUGCAUGCAGAGAGAUUGGGACGGUUACAUGUCCUGCUGCUGUUGCAUCUCCUGCCUUCUGCUC